rnacentral:rRNA from 1 species
UACGUAGGGUGCAAGCGUUAAUCGGAAUUACUGGGCGUAAAGCGUGCGCAGGCGGUUAUGCAAGACAGAUGUGAAAUCCCCGGGCUCAACCUGGGAACUGCAUUUGUGACUGCAUGGCUAGAGUACGGUAGAGGGGGAUGGAAUUCCGCGUGUAACAGUGAAAUGCGUAGAUAUGCGGAGGAACACCGAUGGCGAAGGCAAUCCCCUGGACCUGUACUGACGCUCAUGCACGAAAGCGUGGGGAGCAAACAGG